UGGGGAAUAUUGGACAAUGGGGGGAACCCUGAUCCAGCCAUGCCGCGUGUGUGAAGAAGGCCUUAUGGUUGUAAAGCACUUUAAGCGAGGAGGAGGGUACUGGUAUUAAUACUACCAGGUACUGGACGUUACUCGCAGACUAAGCACCGGCUAACUCUGUGCCAGCAGCCGCGGUAAUACAGAGGGUGCGAGCGUUAAUCGGAUUUACUGGGCGUAAAGCGUGCGUAGGCGGCUAAUUGAGUCGGAUGUGAAAUCCCCGAGCUUAACUUGGGAAUUGCAUUCGAUACUGGUUAGCUAGAGUGUGGGAGAGGAUGGUAGAAUUCCAGGUGUAGCGGUGAAAUGCGUAGAGAUCUGGAGGAAUACCGAUGGCGAAGGCAGCCAUCUGGCCUAACACUGACGCUGAGGUACGAAAGCAUGGGGAGCAAACAGG
rnacentral:rRNA from 1 species